AUCUACGGCCAUGCCACCUUGAAUGUGCCCUAUCUUGUCUGAUCUCGGAAGCUAAGCAGGGCGGGGACUGGUUAGUACUUGGAUGGGAGACUAGGUGCUGUAGGCG
rnacentral:rRNA from 1 species